ACAUGUACUCUUAAAGAAACUGGCAUAUCAUGUCUAUAUCAUCUACCUAUGGGAGGAACUGGCUGGAGGUGAUACAGGAGGAGGGGAGAAGUGACUUUUCCUACUUGCCCUAACGCUAUCCCCAGGGCAGCUGCAGUACCAAUAAUGCUGAAAGUAGUGACAACAUUGAUUUCCACAGCAGUAGCAGCGUGGAGGGAUCCCCAUGAUACAGGCUAUGGGGGCAGCAAUAGGAAUAAUUCAGGAGUAAUGACAAUAUUAGCUGCAGCUAUAGCAGCUAACAUGUGACUCCUCGUGGUGGCAGCUUCAAAAACAGCAGGAACAGCCCAGCUCAAGAAGGGCAGCUUCCUAGGCUCCUGCUUAAAGAAGCUCAACUUGGACAUCUGAAGGUCUGAAGUACCUUCCACUGACCCCAGCAACAUUUUCACUCCAACUUGGUAGAAGCAGAGAUUUCUUGUAGUUAUUAAUUUUCAAACAACCCUAUCUUUUCACCUAUUGCUCCACACACCCUCGCAAAUGAUUUCUCUAUGAAAUAUGAUACAUAUGACUCACUUGUUUUGCUAGCCCAUAGAGUGUUUUAAUUUUUAAAUCACUUGCAAUUGUGGAAAAAUUGGGAGAGCCCACAUAAAAUUGCAGUUUUCAGCCUUCUCUUGAUCUUUAGAGUGGGCAAUGCUGUUUGCGCUUCCUGCAGGGCCACAGAGGUCUGAUGCUGAGUAAUGACUGUCCCUUUCAACAAGUUCGCCAGGUCCCCCACCUGGACUGCUUCCAUUGACCACACCUCCUGCCUGGCCCUGCACACUUGGAUGUUCGCCACACCUAAUAUACAUGGAAUUGCAAGGAAGAAAGUCCUGUGUAAGAGAACACAAACCAUAAGAGCAAGAACUGGAAAACUCUAUUGGGUCAAACUUGAAAGGAUGCUCCAACUGGGAGAGAAGAAGAGACUGAUGAAGGAAGGCAUGGUCUGAAGCGUCACCUGCCGCUGAGAGAGUCUUAAGAGAACAUAUACAAAGGGACAGUAGCCACCUGGAGCCUUCUUGUGGCGAAUGGCAGGACCAUAAGAGGGAUGAAAACAGGUGAUGGGCCUCAGAGCCCCUGUUUUGAACUGACUCACUUUUGCAAAUGCCCACAUUCCAUCAGUCAAAAAGCAAGUCAGAUGACCAAGUCCAAGAGUAUGACACCAUCUGGCAGGUGUUCUUCCUGCCAAAAGGAGCAGACAAAAAGGCUCACCUUUCCUUCUCAGAAUGAGGGCUCACAGAGAAGGGAGCCCUGACAAACAGAGAAAAAAAGCCCUCGAUGGAGGCGUAGGGGACUGAUGAGAGAUGAACGGGAAGAAACCCUGUCCGAAGCAACUUUGUCUGAAUAGAAGAGAUGGUAACUUGGUGCUGAAAAUAGACUUUGAGCUGCACACAAGCCGAGAUUGAGAGUAACCGGCACAUAAUUAGAAUAAGAGUUUUGAUGCAAAGGUAAGAUUACUUCACUGGAGAUCAUCCCUGCACAACGUAUAGAGAAGCAGGCUUGGCAGAACCCAUCAAUGCUAGAAGAGAAAUACAGAUGUGAGCAAAGGGAGAGUGAGUUACUGCAGUCACCUCUUGCCAAGAGUGUCCCUAAUCUUGAGCAGGGAGGAGGUGGGAAAUUCAAGUUGGCAGCUGCACUGAGUAACAUUUUUAGCUUGUAGUAUAUGGUGAUGUUUGGGUGAGCGACAUGAACUAUAUGCCCUUCUGAUCCGAUACUGUGGGUUAAGUCAUUAUCCACUCAUCUUUCUGUUAGUUUCAUAAAAUCGAUUUAAAGAAUCACUAACUUAUUUUCAUGUAUAAAAAAUCAGGUUGAAGCCUACUGGUGACUUAUUCAACAUACCCUUGCCAAGAAUGGAACACCAGGAGAGGGUAACUGUGUCUUAGUUUGGGCUUUUAUGGAAAUAGACCCUUAGAUAAAAAUUCAAAGGCAAGCAGUAUGGGAGAUGAUCCCUGGAACCCGUGGAAAAGGAGUGUGGAUGUGAAACCAGAAGGGGUAGGGCCGAUAAGAGGUGGAUUAUGAAACAAAUCCCCCCUCACAGGCCACCAAAGCUGGGGACAUCUGGAAAUGAUGCAGAAUAAUCACUCUGACUCAUUUUCUCUGAGGGUCCAGGCAGCUGAAGCAUUUAUCUACCAACUGCUAGCAGGUGGGUUUCCAGAGUCGCUCCUGGGAGGGGGUCCUUCUCCAGAAGUGCAGCCUGCCCCACAGGUGAAAUACAGGUGCUGCUGGGAGGAACCAGCCCUAUGUGCCCAGAAGUGGUCAGAAUGAAGGGCUGAGGGUGGGACAGCCAGAGCAUCACUGAGAACCCCAGCUGGAUGCCAUCUUAACAAGGGCCCAGCUUGGAUGUGCUGCAGAGGAAAAUGACAUUUGUGCAUUUCCCACUCUUCUGGCAUCAGUGAGAUGGCUAUACCCCUAGGAGCUCUUGGUGGGGCCUCAGGAUUGAUUUGAACCAAGAAUCAUAUUUCUCUGUCCUUUACUUUUCAAUCAAAUUAUUUUUAUAUAUGACUUAUAUUCAAACCCGAGUUAUAUUUACAACUAUUCCUGAGUUUCUUGCCACUGUUCAGUGUAAGCAUUCCCUGGAAAACAUAGCAGCGCACCCUAAAAGGUCUAAGGCCACUGUAUAAUAAAAUGUACUGUCCUGUGUUGUUUCUUUCAGGUGAGGCCGUAGCCUUACUGCAGGCACAUGUGGGAUCGAGGAGGUACAAAGGGAACUAGACUAUCUGGCCUGGAAUGUCACUGCCAGGAAUGUCAAGACUGCCUCAGACUGUCACAGUGACUUUAUAAAUGACUACUCCUUUUCUCUAUCAAUUCCAUUUUCUUAUUUUCCCACUCAAAAAUAUAAAGGGAAAUUAUAUGAUUGUACUACCUUUAAUUUUUUUUUUUAAAAAAACCUCUAGAUUUCUUUGAGUAUAAAUGCAUGGGAAUGAGCAGCAGCAUGUUCAUUGUGAAUUGACAGCUCGUGUCACUGAUUUUAAAAAUAAAAUGAAUGUCUAUUUAUGCACAUUGGUAUAAUUUGGGGGACUGUAUAUGCAUAUUAUAAUACCAUGGAUAAAUUAAGAAGUCAUCAUUUAUAUGUUACUAAAAAAGUUUACUCCACAUUAGCCUGAGUGAAUGUAAUUUGUAUCAGGUUUUAUGUUUCUUUUCUUUUUAUGGCUACACCUGUGGCACAUGGAAGUUUCCUGGGCUAGGGGUUUAGUAGGAGUUGCAGCUGCAUGCCUGUGCCACAGCCACAGCAACACCAGAUCCAGCUGCAUCUGCGACCUACACCACAGCUUGUGGCAACGCCAGAUCCUUAACCCACUGAGUGAGGCCAGGGAUGGAACCUGCAUCCUCACAGACACUAUAUCUAGUUCUUAACCUGCUGAGUCACAAGGGGAACUCCAGGUUUUCUGUUCAGUACUGCAAAUGCCUGCUGUGGCAAGUGUUGUGCAUUUUAUAUGAUUGCUUCUUACUUUUAACUAUUAAUUUUAGAGUAAUAUUAGACUUACCAAAAAGGCACCAAAGUAAAUUUCAGAGAUCCUAUAUACUUUCCGUAAUGUUAACAUCUUACAUAAGUGUCAUACAAUAAUAUAGGACCAAUUUUGGUACCAGAUAGAUGUAAGCAAAUCUGCAGCCAAAAUUCAUCAUCUUGUCUAGGUAUUCUCUCCAUGUAUGUCCAUGUAUGGUACUGGAAUGAAUAAAAACGUUUUAAUGUUCUUGGUUUAAAAACAGCAGAAUAAAAGAAAAAAAAA
rnacentral:lncRNA from 1 species